rnacentral:ncRNA from 1 species
CCUUGAUGUCGGCUCUUCGCCACCUGGGGCUGUAGUAUGUUCCAAGGGUUGGGCUAUUCUCCCAUUAAAGCGGUACGUGAGCUGGGUUCAGAACGUCAUGACACAAUUC